rnacentral:rRNA from 1 species
GGAAUUGACGGGGCCGCACAAGCGGUGAGCAUGUGGUUAAUUCGAUGCAACGCGAAGAACCUUACCUGGGCUUGACAUCCCGAGAAUCCCCUGGAAACAGGGGAGUGCCUUUCGGGGAACUCGGAGACAGGUGCUGCAUGGCUGUCGUCAGCUCGUGUCGUGAGAUGUUGGGUUAAGUCCCGCAACGAGCGCAACCCUUGUCUUUAAUUGCCAGCAUUCAGUUGGGCACUUUAAAGAGACUGCCGGUGUUAAGCCGGAGGAAGGUGGGGAUGACGUCAAGUCCUCAUGGCCUUUAUGCCCAGGGCUACACACGUGCUACAAUGGGUGGUACAAAGAGAUGCCAACUCGCGAGAGCGCGCCAAUCUCAGAAAGCCAUCCUCGGUUCGGAUUGGAGUCUGCAACUCGACUCCAUGAAGUUGGAAUCGCUAGUAAUCGCGGAUCAGCACGCCGCGGUGAAUACGUUCCCGGGCCUU